rnacentral:snRNA from 1 species
CUUUCCAGCCCCUGAGGACAAUAUAGUAAAUGGAUUUUUGGAAUUAGGAGUUGGAAUAGGAGCUUGCUCUGUCCACUCCACGCAUCGAUCUGGUAUUGCAAUACCUCCAGGAAUGGUGC